rnacentral:rRNA from 1 species
GAUGAACGCUGGCGGCGUGCCUAAUACAUGCAAGUCGAGCGAACGGACGAGAAGCUUGCUUCUCUGAUGUUAGCGGCGGACGGGUGAGUAACACGUGGAUAACCUACCUAUAAGACUGGGAUAACUUCGGGAAACCGGAGCUAAUACCGGAUAAUAUUUUGAACCGCAUGGUUCAAAAGUGAAAGACGGUCUUGCUGUCACUUAUAGAUGGAUCCGCGCUGCAUUAGCUAGUUGGUAAGGUAACGGCUUACCAAGGCAACGAUGCAUAGCCGACCUGAGAGGGUCAUCGGCCACACUGGAACUGAGACACGGUCCAGACUCCUACGGGAGGCAGCAGUAGGGAAUCUUCCGCAAUGGGCGAAAGCCUGACGGAGCAACGCCGUGUGAGUGAUGAAGGUCUUCGGAUCGUAAAACUCUGUUAUUAGGGAAGAACAUAUGUGUAAGUAACUGUGCACAUCUUGACGGUACCUAAUCAGAAAGCCACGGCUAACUACGUG